rnacentral:rRNA from 1 species
UACGUAGGCAGGCGAGCGUUUGUUCGGAGUUACUGGGCGUAAAGGGUGUGUAGGCGGCCUAUUAAGUUUGGUGUGAAAUCUCCCGGCUCAACCGGGAGGGUGCGCCGGAAAACUGGGAGGCUAGAGUGCGGGAUGGGAGAGUGGAAUUCCGUGGUGUAGCGGUGAAAUGCGUAGAUAUCAGGAGGAACACCGGUGGUGCAGACGGCUCGUCUGGACCGUAACUGACGCUGAGACACGAAAGCGUGGGUAGCAAACAGG